rnacentral:rRNA from 1 species
UUGAACGCUGGCGGCAGGCCUAACACAUGCAAGUCGAACGGUAACAGGGAGAAGCUUGCUUCUUUGCUGACGAGUGGCGGACGGGUGAGUAAUGUCUGGGAAACUGCCUGAUGGAGGGGGAUAACUACUGGAAACGGUAGCUAAUACCGCAUAACGUCGCAAGACCAAAGAGGGGGACCUUCGGGCCUCUUGCCAUCGGAUGUGCCCAGAUGGGAUUAGCUAGUAGGUGGGGUAACGGCUCACCUAGGCGACGAUCCCUAGCUGGUCUGAGAGGAUGACCAGCCACACUGGAACUGAGACACGGUCCAGACUCCUACGGGAGGCAGCAGUGGGGAAUAUUGCACAAUGGGCGCAAGCCUGAUGCAGCCAUGCCGCGUGUAUGAAGAAGGCCUUCGGGUUGUAAAGUACUUUCAGCGGGGAGGAAGGGAGUAAAGUUAAUACCUUUGCUCAUUGACGUUACCCGCAGAAGAAGCACCGGCUAACUCCGUG